rnacentral:misc_RNA from 1 species
CCUAAUCAAGGAUACAAUAAGUUACUUACACUGCCACUAAAACAUACAGUUGCUAUAAGAAGUGCAAGAGAGGUUAGUUUGAUGCUAUAAACUGUAAUUAUGAGGUGAAAACAACCAUAAAACAGUUGAGAGUUGACAAUCCCAAAGAGUCCUUUAAUAUAAAAAUGAAAACAGUGAGAGAACUUAAAUUCUAUAUGGGGAAAAAUGUCAUUCGGUCAAUUUUUUAGGCCAUCUGGCCACUUUAUAACUUUGUUGCCGUUGCAAACACAACAUGCAGUCAGCAAAUAGACUGUACACUCAAGUUACCACAAUGCUACUAGAUAAUGAAAAUUUUAUGCUAUCAACAGAAAGAAAUAAAUUUUUAAAACAAGAGGCUGUGAUUUUAAAUUUUAUAUACCACAUUGUUUAACCAAUCCCUUGUCUCUGAUUUUGCCUUCUCCUUUGGAUCCUAUCAAAAGAAAUUCACAUUAUUAGCAUUUUGACUACAAAAGUAAAUUUUCCAAAGGGAAAAAGAGAUAAGUGUAAUGAAUACUAGUAAGGAG